GUGAUCCCAAAGAACUUCCUUUUCAAAAUGACCAACAAGAUGGGGCACAACGAGAUCACCCUCACAAGAACUUAUCAGGGUGAGAAGGUUGAGGUUCUGGUUUCCAUGCCCAGCCUAAUCACUGGAGAUUAAGCGGAGCAUGACCAGGACGAGGAUGACAAAGAGAAAGAUGAUUACCAGGAAGAUGGAGAGAAGGCAACACAAAGUUGAGGAUUCCCCCUCACAGUCACCGUCUCCAAGAAUGACGUCUCAAGCCUCAAGUUCACAUGCACCACCUACCCCGACGAGAUCAUGAUAGGCAUCUUGUCCGUUAGGCAGCCAGUGGGGAAUGACUAGGAGGAGCUGAUUGCAUACGAGGAUCCUUAUUUCAACGACCUCGACGAGAACCAGCAGAGGGUGUUCCACAAGUACCUGGAGCUGCGAUCUGCUAUGAGGAAAGUUGCCGACAAAUGGUUUGUCAUUAUCCCAGUGUACCACGUCUCUGAUGGGCCUGAAGAAGACGUCCAGA